CAGCAGUUAAAGUAGACAAAUGGUCCAAUUGUUUACUUUGUUCUUUACCAUCAGGCCUGUUCCCUCUUUAACAGUUUUUGUAGCAAUGUAAUACUGGGUAUAUUUCUUCUAAUUUCCUUUUAGGAUAUUUUGCUUUAAAUAAAUGUGAUUUGCAAAAUGAAUAAGGCAGUGCUCUUCUUUUACUGGAAAUGGAGCAGGGAGCAUGCUCUAAAAAUAUUAAAUAUGUCCCCAUAUUGGAGAAGAUGAUUGUCGACCAAAUGUUUAAAUAAUUAUUGAACUAGUAUAUGG